rnacentral:lncRNA from 1 species
AAUGGACCAACCCUGAAUUUUAGGAAAAAGAUCUUUUCAAUUAGAUCUUUUUCCUUUUUUUAUUACAAUUCUCUAAUAUCGUAAUAUUUUUGUUAUUACUCUAGAUCGUCGUAUUUGUAUAUUUAUGGUCCCUAAGUAAGUAGAUUAUCUUGAGUUGCACAUACAUUGGAUUGGACCAAGCUAAGCUAAAAAAGGGCUAGACUAUUUCAAAAACAAAAACUAG